rnacentral:lncRNA from 1 species
GCUAUUCCUGUUUUUUGGCAGUCAAAAUCUGUUAUUUUUUUCAACCAAUGAAUAGCUAUUAGAGGCCUUCCAAAUGCUGUUAUUUUGGAUUUUUAAUUUAACUGUAAAAUGUGUCUCCUUUGCUAAAACAGGAGAGAGAUUUUCAGUUAAUGUUGCAUGGUAGAGAAAAAAAACACUUGAGAACCAACUUCUAUACUCACAUAAAAUAGUAAUAAAACAUAAAAUCCAAACUAAAUAUAACUGUGGUAUUUCUUUGCUUAAAAGCUCUCAGAUUGCAAUAUUUUAUAUUAAAUCUGUCUUCACCUAUUCACACAUGUUCAUCUUGGAUAGCAUUUGGGUCAAUAUAAGUGCAUUAGCUGCUUAAGGUUAACUUGAUCACAUUGGUUCACCAUCAGAGAGUGAUUAGUGUCAAUUUCCUGGGUAAAAGGAUUUUCCUUGCAUGUGGUAAGGUAUGCUGCAUGAAUCAUGCUCCUUAAGGUACAGGCUUGAAUCAGUGUUGUUAAAUGUGUGUGUGUGUGUAUUAUCUCUGUAUGUGUGUGUGUGUGUGUGUGUGUGUGUGUAUAAUAUAAUUUAGAGCAAUUUCUAGGUUAUUACUAUAAUAUCCUUCCUGUGUAGCUGAGAAAAUAUAUGCCAGAAUUUGAAUUUGUGUUAAUAGAGUUUGAAUAUCAAGUCCAUUUUUUAGAAACAAUUUAUGGGGCAUUCUAAGAAUUUUUCCAUAUAAUAGCUUUCCUAUUAAUUUUAUGGAUCUUUGUUGUAUGUGAACUUUUCCAGUCCCAGUUAUAAAAACCUGACUGUAGCCAACAUCAGCAAAAAAAAAAAAAAGAAGAAGAAAGAAGAAAAAAGAAAUUCGUUAGAUUAUAAAAUUAAGAAUUCCAAGGGAAGCUCAUCCCUCAGGCAUGGUGUAUCAAUUUGGAUCUAAUCAGGAGAAAGAAACCACAUAGUAAUUUGAACAGGGAAAGUUUAAUAUAAAGAAUUAUUAACUGUAACAAAGAAUUAGAGUAUCAAAGGAUUGAGUACUAAGAAGUGAAAAGAAUACAGGAAUAGCCUGUAUAAAGAGCAGAGAAGUAAGAGCUCAACCCCCAGGUUGAGGCCCAGAUCUCAUUCUGAUUUUACAUUUUUAAUUGACUAUAAAUUUACCUCUUUUCCUAAAAUAGGAGAGAUAUUUUCAGUUAAUGGAGCAUGGUGGAAGACAAAGCAGCGGUGGCCUUGUGUUACUGAACAGCCUAGAAGUCACUUGGUGCUGUGGCCAUAGACAAUCUUGGAAGCCCUCCCUCUUGUACUUGCUUGAAAGGAGCCCUUUGGGAUGCCGGAAAUAUUCACAGGGAGGUGUCUCACUAUAGGCACUCAACUACAAAACUGCCUUAGGAAAUACAUACACAGGGGCAGAGUGGGAGGGAGCUGCGGGGGCCAGGGAAUGUUCUGGCCACUCUGAGUGGCAGAUGCUCAAUGCUGAAAAAUCAGUGAGUGCUGCAGGAGCUGGGCCCUGAAGAAGCCAUGGGUAUGCAGGAGUGGCUGGGGGCUAAAGAAGCUGCACUGUGCUGUGGGAGCCUACAGAGUCAGCACAGACAGCCUGCAGGAUGGAAUCAGCAAAAUCCCAUUUUCUUCUGCAAUGACUCUCUUGCGCCCUCUACUGACAGUGGUUAGUAUGGUGUCACUUGGCAAAUGAAAAUAAUUUAAAGGGAUCAUAUCCAUUUUCAUAGAGCAAACAAAAAGGAUUAAUUUAGAGCAAAGAUGACCAGAUCCAAAAACUCAAAUGGUGUUUGCAGGGUUUGGUUUUUUUCUAAGUAUUGUUUUCCUCUGGUCUGGCUUUUUUCUAGGCUAGUUGGCUCCAUAUUUUAUUAGAAAGAAUUCAGCAGCUGAAGAGACAUUCUCUUUUUGGCAAUUAUAAGAAAAAUCCAAGAAUUGAGUCUUGUUGACUUUAAUUAGCCUGGCUUGUGCCAGUAUGACUGGGGAAUGUGAUAUUCGUUUCACAUCAUUUGAUGUUAUGCACCCCAUCCUCACCUUCCUUAGAGUGCUAUUACCAGAGAAAGGAGAUUGUUCCUGGGGAGCCAAAGUAAUGUCCAGUAAGCAAAACUCCAGAACUUAUUACAUUCUUUAAAUAUGUG